rnacentral:tRNA from 1 species
GUUUUAAUAAUUUAAAUAAAAUAUUGGUCUUGUAAACCAAAAAUGAGGAAUACUCUUAAUUCA